AGAGUUUGAUCCUGGCUCAGGAUGAACGCUGGCGGUGUGCCUAACACAUGCAAGUCGAACGAGCAGCCACUGGAUCUUCGGAACUGGUGGUGGGCGAGUGGCGAACGGGUGCGUAACACGUAGGUACCUACCCCGAGGAGGGGGACAACUGCUGGAAACGGCAGCUAAUCCCACAUGGUCUCACUUCGGUGAGUAAAGACUCCGGUGCCUUGGGAGGGGCCUGCGGCCUAUCAGGUAGUUGGUGGGGUAACGGCCUACCAAGCCGACGACGGGCAGGGGGCGUGAGAGCGUGGCCCCCCACACGGGAACUGAGACACGGUCCCGACGCCUACGGGCGGCAGCAGUGAGGAAUCUUGCGCAAUGGGGGAAACCCUGACGCAGCGACACCGCGUGCGGGAGGAAGGCCUUCGGGUUGUAAACCGCUUUUCUGGAGGACGAGGAAGGACGGUACUCCAGGAAUAAGUCCCGGCUAACUACGUGCCAGCAGCCGCGGUAAAACGUAGGGGGCGAGCGUUAUCCGGAAUUACUGGGCGUAAAGGGCGUCUAGGCGGCAGGCUAAGUCCCAUGUGAAAGCUCCCGGCUCAACUGGGAGAGGGCAUGGGAAACUGGACUGCUAGAGACUCAGAGGGGGGUGUGGAAUUCCCGGUGGAGUGGUGAAAUGCGUUGAGAUCGGGAGGAACACCAGUAGCGAAGGCGGCACCCUGGCUGAGGUCUGACGCUGAAGCGCGACAGCGUGGGGAGCGAACGGGAUUAGAUACCCCGGUAGUCCACGCCGUAAACGAUGACAACUAGGUGUUGGGUGUCCAAGGACGUUCAGUGCUGCAGUUAA
rnacentral:rRNA from 1 species